UCAGUUUCAGGAACUUCCUGGGGUCACUGA
rnacentral:piRNA from 1 species